AACGAACGCUGGCGGCAUGCCUAACACAUGCAAGUCAAACGAGACCUUCGAGUCUAGUGGCGCACGGGUGCGUAACGCGUGGGAAUCUGCCCUUGGGUGCGGAAUAACAGUUAGAAAUGACUGCUAAUACCGCAUAAUGACUCCGGUCCAAAGAUUUAUCGCCCAAGGAUGAGCCCGCGUCGGAUUAGCUAGUUGGUGAGGUAAAAGCUCACCAAGGCGACGAUCCGUAGCUGGUCUGAGAGGACGAUCAGCCACACUGGGACUGAGACACGGCCCAGACUCCUACGGGGGGCAGCAGUGGGGAAUAUUGGACAAUGGGCGAAAGCCUGAUCCAGCAAUGCCGCGUGAGUGAUGAAGGCCUUAGGGUUGUAAAGCUCUUUUACCCGGGAUGAUAAUGACAGUACCGGGAGAAUGAGCCCCGGCUAACUCCGUGCCAGCCGCCGCCGUAACAC
rnacentral:rRNA from 1 species